rnacentral:rRNA from 1 species
GAUGAACGCUGGCGGCGUGCUUAUCACAUGCAAGUCGUGCGAUGAAGUUUCCUUCGGGAAACAGAUUAGCGGCGGACGGGUGAGUAACACGUGGGUAACCUGCCUCAUAGAAUGGAAUAGCCUUCCGAAAGGAAGAUUAAUACCGCAUAACGUUGAAAGAUGGCAUCAUCAUUCAACCAAAGGAGCAAUCCGCUAUGAGAUGGACCCGCGGCGCAUUAGCUAGUUGGUGGGGUAACGGCCUACCAAGGCGACGAUGCGUAGCCGACCUGAGAGGGUGAGCGGCCACAUUGGGACUGAGACACGGCCCAGACUCCUGCGGGAGGCAGCAGUGGGGAAUAUUGCACAAUGGGGGAAACCCUGAUGCAGCAACGCCGCGCGAGUGAUGAAGGUUUUCGGAUCGUAAAGCUCUGUCUUUGGGGAAGAUAAUGACGGUACCCAAGGAGGAAGCCACGGCUAACUACGUGCCAGCCGCCGCGGUAAAAC